GAUGAAGAACGUAGCGAAAUGCGAUACGUAAUGUGAAUUGCAGAAUUCAGUGAAUCAUCGAAUCUUUGAACGCACAUUGCGCCCGGCAGCAAUCUGCCGGGCAUGCCUGUCCGAGCGUCAUUUCUUCCCUCGAGCGCGGCUAGCCCUACGGGGCCUGCCGUCGCCCGGUGUUGGGGCUCUACGGGUGGGGCUCGUCCCCCCCGCAGUCCCCGAAAUGUAGUGGCGGUCCAGCCGCGGCGCCCCCUGCGUAGUAGAUCCUACAUCUCGCAUCGGGUCCCGGCGAAGGCCAGCCGUCGAACCUUUUAUUUCAUGGUUUGACCUCGGAUCAGGUAGGGUUACCCGCUGAACUUAAGCAUAUCAAUAAGCGGAGGA
rnacentral:misc_RNA from 1 species